rnacentral:ncRNA from 1 species
GAAAACGGGGAGCUCGAAUGGACGGGCUGAGAGGCAGGUUUUUCCUGCGACCCAUUUACCUGAUCUGGGUAAUGCCAGCGGAGGGAAGA